UACAGAGGUCUCAAGCGUUGUUCGGAUUCAUUGGGCGUAAAGGGUGCGUAGGGGGCGAGGCAAGUCUGGUGUGAAAUCCCGGGGCUCAACCCCGGAACUGCACUGGAUACUACUUUGCUAGAGUACUGGAGAGGAGAUUGGAAUUUACGGUGUAGCAGUGAAAUGCGUAGAUAUCGUAAGGAAGACCAGUGGCGAAGGCGAAUCUCUGGACAGUUACUGACACUGAGGCACGAAGGCCAGGGGAGCAAACGGG
rnacentral:rRNA from 1 species